rnacentral:rRNA from 1 species
CCUACGGGGGGCAGCAGUGAGGAAUAUUGGUCAAUGGGCGAGAGUCUGAACCAGCCAAGUAGCGUGAAGGAUGACUGCCCUAUGGGUUGUAAACUUCUUUUAUAAAGGAAUAAAACGAGGCACGUGUGCCUUUUUGCAUGUACUUUAUGAAUAAGGAUCGGCUAACUCCGUGCCAGCAGCCGCGGUAAUACGGAGGAUCCGAGCGUUAUCCGGAUUUAUUGGGUUUAAAGGGAGCGUAGAUGGGUUGUUAAGUCAGUUGUGAAAGUUUGCGGCUCAACCGUAAAAUUGCAAUUGAUACUGGCAGUCGUGAGUACAGUUGAGGUAGGCGGAAUUCGUGGUGUAGCGGUGAAAUGCUUAGAUAUCACGAAGAACCCCGAUUGCGAAGGCAGCUUACUAAACUGUGACUGACAUUGAUGCUCGAAAGUGUGGGUAUCAAACAGGAUUAGAUACCCGAGUAGUC